rnacentral:lncRNA from 1 species
UAUUAUAUUAUAUUGAGAUGUUCUACCAAUAGCACUAAUAGUAUUUUCAAUUUAAAACUUUUGUUGAGUAUUAAUUAUGUGUCGUUUGUUUUGUUUUCAAGUGUUUAGAAGUUCAAGUGAAUUAACAAGAUGUGAAGUUAUAUAUUCAUGAUUUAUAUUAAGUUUUUUGAACUUUUUAUGAUUUAAUUGUAUUUUACUAAUGAAUUUCAGCUGCACUUUGCUUUUCAAUUUGUGUCAAAUGGUAGAAGUUUUUGAAGAGUAGAGUAGUACUGUAGUUGCUACGGUGAUUUGCUAGUCAAGUGGUGUGAAGCUCAUUUUUUGGUUGAGUGGACUCUACAUGAUCGAAUGCAGGAAAACGCUUUUGCAUAUGGUGUUAUGAAUAUUAAAGAUAGAUGAUUACAAGAACUUUCCAUCUUGUCCCAUAUCUCGAUGAGCG